rnacentral:rRNA from 1 species
GAUGAACGCUGGCGGCGUGCCUAAUACAUGCAAGUCGAGCGAACGGACGAGAAGCUUGCUUUUCUGAUGUUAGCGGCGGACGGGCGAGUAACACGUGGAUAACCUACCUAUAAGACUGGGAUAACUUCGGGAAACCGGAGCUAAUACCGGAUAAUAUUUUGAACCGCAUGGUUCAAAAUUGAAAGACGGUCUUGCUGUCACUUAUAGAUGGAUCCGCGCUGCAUUAGCUAGUUGGUAAGGUAACGGCUUACCAAGGCAACGAUGCAUAGCCGACCGGAGAGGGUGAUCGGCCACAGUGGAACUGAGACACGGUCCAGACUCCUACGGGAGGCAGCAGUAGGGAAACUUCCGCAAUGGGCGAAAGCCUGACGGAGCAACGCCGCGGGAGUGAUGAAGGUCUUCGGAUCGUAAAACUCUGUUAUUAGGGAAGAACAUAUGUGUAAGUAACUGUGCACAUCUUGACGGUACCUAAUCAGAAAGCCACGGCUAACUACGUG